AUUACUGUCUAUAGGGGUUGGCUCAGUACUACUGUCUAUAGGGGUUGGCUCAACAUUACUGUCUAUAGAGGUUGGCUCAGUACUACUGUCUAUAGGGGUUGGCUCAACAUUACUGUCUAUAGAGGUUGGCUCAGUACUACUGUCUAUAGGGGUUGGCUCAGUACUACUGUCUAUAGGGGUUGGCUCAACAUUACUGUCUAUAGAGGUUGGCUCAGUACUACUGUCUAUAGGGGUUGGCUCAGUACUACUGUCUAUAGGGGUUGGCUCAGUACUACUGUCUAUAGAGGUUGGCUCAGUACUACUGUCUAUAGGGGUUGGCUCAGUACUACUGUCUAUAGGGGUUGGCUCAGUACUACUGUCUAUAGGGGUUGGCUCAACAUUAC